AAAGCCGCUAUUGCCCAAAAAAUCAAUCAUCCAAGGCCAAACACAACCAACCUUAAAUAUGAUACAAUGUUUCUUUUGGGUUCAAUCAAAUAUUUAAUACAUUGGGAUAUUUUCCACUUUAUAUUAUAUGUUUUUGGUAAGUGAUCCCAACUUUGGUAUCUUAGAGCAUAUGCAACGGUGGACUCCUUCUUGGAGUCCUUACCACUAUUUUAGUUUUUUUUUGUUUGAAUAGUUAAGGAUUCUAGUAAAAAUAGUGUGUCCAAUAGUGAUCUCCGAUUAGGAGUCUUACACAUAUAUACAUAUUUCCCUCCAUCCAAUGAGACGCGGCCACGUCACUAAGGACUUGAUCCUUAAACUCUUUGUCUAAGGAUUGCUCCUUACCGAAUUGGGCUUUGAUAAUAUUAUUUUAUCUGGAUUCGCCUAGGAUAUAGCGCUAAGGAUUCGUCUAAAUGGACCGUUGCGGAUGCUCUUAGAACACCAUCUAAAUAUUUACUCCACGACUUAAAAUUGACCCUGACUUUUUCUAAAAUAUUUAUAGCCUAAUACCAGUAGUCUAAACCGAUGCUAACACUAAAACCAAACCUCCUAAAUUCAAUUGUUUUAGUUUUAGAUAUAGAUUCGUGUUAAUAUUACUUCUCCUUCGCAAUAAACAAAGAACAAAGUUUUUAUCUGAAUCCAUCUCAUGCUAUACUAACAGCCAUUCUCUUUAAUUCGAAUGAGAGUUUUGGCUUCUUCAAUCAUUUGGUGAAAGAAAUCUUUGGAUGUCAGCUGCAGUUGAUCAAUAAGCAAGGCCAUAUGUAAGUGUAUCAUAUAUAUCUGAAUCCAUCUCAUGCUAUACCUUUGGAUCCUUCAAUUUUCUUUCUAGGGUUUCACUGCUUAGGUUUCGAAUCAUGGGCGAAGUGAAAAUCUCUGCAAUUUCAGAUAAUAUGUUGGUUGCGCAGUGACGAGAAAAAAGAAACUCGGAUUUUGAGAAUUCAUGAGAUGAGAAAACGAAUUGGUUCUUUGAAGAAGAAAGCCAUCAAUGCUACUAACAAAUUCAAGCACUCUCUCAAGAAGAAAAAGUGAAUUGAAAAACGAAAGCUGAGUCGGUUCUGUCUCCAUUGAAGAUGUUCGUGAUGUCGAGGUGUUUCAAGUAGUUGAUGAGUUUAGACACUCUUUGGUCAUGGACGAGAUGCUAUCCUCUAAACACACAUGAUGAUGAGGUUCUCGAAGGCAAGAAAAUUCAAUAUUGAGAAAGCAAAGCAAAUGUGGGCUGAUAUGAUCCAGGACUUUGAGUUUGAAGGGAUUAAUGAUGUCUCUUUACACGUCCUUUGUUGUUGCUAUUGUUGAUGCAUGGGUCCAUUAGGUAUUUGGUACAGAUAUCCCUGGUGGAAAGAGAAGGAGAUAUUCUCGGAGGAGAGGAGGGAGCAAUGGAUGUGUCCUCUGACGCUAAGAGAGGCGGCGUCGGUUCUAAAAGCACCAGGAUUCAAUAAAAGUUGAUAUACAUUGCAGUUGGUGAGAUUUAUGGGUGCAAGCAUACACUGUCUGUCCUAAGAGAAGCAUUCCGGAAUUGUCAGUCUACCAGUACCAGUCCUGGUUUCCCUACCGAGUGGUCGAUCGCGUCUCUCAUUAUAUGUGCAAUUGUUCUUCUAUUUUUACUCUCACAUGUGGUUAUAGGUAAUGAAAUGCUAUUGGAGUAGGCAGAGUUGCAACAGUUUCAGAACCAUUUGUCUCAAAUCACUGGUCUAAAUUUUAUUGUGUUUGUGGCUAGCAACACUUUUAUUCCCAUGUAUGAUGGAAACAUGGCAAAAAUUGUGGAAGGCCGUCAGAUGUAUCUCGGGUUUAGGAAAACAGUCCUGCUUGACCACAAGAGACUCUUGCUGCUACUGGACUUUCAUCACAACAAGCAUGAGGGAUCAGUUUGCAAUAGCUGUCAAGGAAGCCCGUGAGAGAAGAACAGGAGCACCAACACAUCGAAGAGUAAUCUCACAUCAAACUAUGGAGGAAGAAUAGUUUUAUGCAAACCCUCGGGAAUGUCUUUGUGAAGGUACAAAUUGCCACAGCAUAUUUGGUCAUAAAAAUUCCAGUUUAACAUGUUGUAAAUCAUGUUUUUAGAAGAAAAAAAAUUGUCAAGUCAUGUUUUUAGCACAUUAUCUCAUUGCCCAUGAAAGAGGACGAGAUGCAAAACACUUGGAACAGGACCUGCUAAGUAGUUCAUUCGUUGAGUUUUUUUUCUGCAGAGUUGCUGAUUAUUUAUUUGUUUUUAUGUAAGUUAAGAUGUAACUAAAACAUCAUUGUCUAUCUCCUUAUAGAAAUUUCAAAAAAUUAAUUAGUAUA